rnacentral:antisense_RNA from 1 species
GAGGGCGCCGGAGCCGGGCAGGGCGGAGAGAUGCGCCAGCGGACUUCUAUUUGGAACUGAGUCCGACAGCUCAGGACUGGCUGCUCAGACUCCACAAUUUAAUGAAAAAUCUGAGAUGAUGACUCAGAAAACCUCUAACGAUCUGAGGAAUAUAUUAAGGGAUUCCAAAGUCAAAGGCUGAUCAUGGAGGGCAUUGAUGAGGGGAGACUUCAGCACGUUUUUCAGCACCAGGACAAGCGUCAUUGCUCAAGGAGAGCUUGGUUGACAACAACAGGAAAUUAGAAGGAGUCUGAAUUGUAACAAAUGUGGCAAGAGCACCAAGAUCACUCUGUGUGUGUUCACAGAAAAUGUACCAAAGGGAGAAGCCUUAAAAACAAAUGGCAGGUGUGGGCACCAGAGAAUCAACACAUCAGGAAGAGAAAAAUGGCAUGGUUUUAGUGUAAUUGUAAAAAGACGCCCUAAAGAGUGUCUAUCGGAUCACCCUCAGGUUGGGUCAAACGCUCCUCUUCUCGGCUU